GGUGAUAAAUAACCAGACUGAAACGAUAUGAAGAGAUGAUCCCAUUUUAAUUUUAUCUCUUCAGUUUUUUUUCUUCAAAAUCAAAAUUUGACCUAUG